CUACAGGCUUAACACAUGCAAGUCGAGGGGCAGCAUGGUCUUAGCUUGCUAAGGCCGAUGGCGACCGGCGCACGGGUGAGUAACACGUAUCCAACCUGCCGUCUACUCUUGGACAGCCUUCUGAAAGGAAGAUUAAUACAAGAUGGCAUCAUGAGUCCGCAUGUUCACAUGAUUAAAGGUAUUCCGGUAGACGAUGGGGAUGCGUUCCAUUAGAUAGUAGGCGGGGUAACGGCCCACCUAGUCUUCGAUGGAUAGGGGUUCUGAGAGGAAGGUCCCCCACAUUGGAACUGAGACACGGUCCAAACUCCUACGGGAGGCAGCAGUGAGGAAUAUUGGUCAAUGGGCGAGAGCCUGAACCAGCCAAGUAGCGUGAAGGAUGACUGCCCUAUGGGUUGUAAACUUCUUUUAUAAAGGAAUAAAGUCGGGUAUGCAUACCCGUUUGCAUGUACUUUAUGAAUAAGGAUCGGCUAACUCCGUGCCAGCAGCCGCGGUAAUACGGAGGAUCCGAGCGUUAUCCGGAUUUAUUGGGUUUAAAGGGAGCGUAGAUGGAUGUUUAAGUCAGUUGUGAAAGUUUGCGGCUCAACCGUAAAAUUGCAGUUGAUACUGGAUAUCUUGAGUGCAGUUGAGGCAGGCGGAAUUCGUGGUGUAGCGGUGAAAUGCUUAGAUAUCACGAAGAACUCCGAUUGCGAAGGCAGCCUGCUAAGCUGCAACUGACAUUGAGGCUCGAAAGUGUGGGUAUCAAACAGGAUUAGAUACCCUGGUAGUCCACACGGUAAACGAUGAAUACUCGCUGUUUGCGAUAUACAGCAAGCGGCCAAGCGAAAGCGUUAAGUAUUCCACCUGGGGAGUACGCCGGCAACGGUGAAACUCAAAGGAAUUGACGGGGGCCCGCACAAGCGGAGGAACAUGUGGUUUAAUUCGAUGAUACGCGAGGAACCUUACCCGGGCUUAAAUUGCAGAUGAAUUACGGUGAAAGCCGUAAGCCGCAAGGCAUCUGUGAAGGUGCUGCAUGGUUGUCGUCAGCUCGUGCCGUGAGGUGUCGGCUUAAGUGCCAUAACGAGCGCAACCCUUGUUGUCAGUUACUAGCAGGUUCUGCUGAGGACUCUGACAAGACUGCCAUCGUAAGAUGUGAGGAAGGUGGGGAUGACGUCAAAUCAGCACGGCCCUUACGUCCGGGGCUACACACGUGUUACAAUGGGGGGUACAGAGGGCCGCUACCACGCGAGUGGAUGCCAAUCCCCAAAACCUCUCUCAGUUCGGACUGGAGUCUGCAACCCGACUCCACGAAGCUGGAUUCGCUAGUAAUCGCGCAUCAGCCACGGCGCGGUGAAUACGUUCCCGGGCCUUGUACACACCGCCCGUCAAGCCAUGGGAGCCGGGGGUACCUGAAGUGCGUAACCGCGAGGAGCGCCCUAGGGUAAAACUGGUGACUGGGGCUAAGUCGUA
rnacentral:rRNA from 1 species